UACAAUUGGUGCUAGUGAAAUUUUUUGGUUAUGAUAUUUUUCUUAUUAUUUUUUGCAGACUUUUAUUUUAUUUAGGGUGAAAUUUCAAUUUUUAUGCUCUGUUUUGGUUGGAUAUUAUAUGAAGGUAUUUUUAAGACUA
rnacentral:rRNA from 1 species